UUCCCGCCAAAUUAGAAAGAAGCAAUUUCCGCCGUCCGAUCUUUGUCGUAAAAUCCGACGGCCAUCGUUGCGCCAGCCUUUUACGCGAAAUCUCAACAGUACAGACUACAGAGUACAGCACCACGGAAUCCACGCCGCUCGCCUGCAGGAAGAAAUUUAAAACCCCAACACCCCCGGCGCACGGCGGCGCGUGAGCUGAGAUCGGAGACGUCGGCCGAACUCCUCCGCCUCGGGUUCUGUUCGGCGGCCGGAAUGUUGUCGUCGCCGUGCGAAGUUCAGGCAUAGCAAAACGAAGAUGGUGAAUUAAGUACCUCGUUGUGCGGUGGAGGAUUGAAGGCGAGCAGCCAAGAGAGGUCGGUUACUUAUAUUUGAAAUUGUGCUUCUCCCAGUAAUGUAAGUGAAACGACCAAUAAGCUCCAACUCUACGAUUAUAUAAGCUUCGCAUGCUUAGGUUGGAUUGUUUGAGAAGGCCAGUUUGUUUUGCUAUUCUUGCGGAAUAAUAAACGAUUCAAAAGUCCAUCACCUUAUUGAUUUUUUUUUUAAUUAUUAUCCCCCCUUCUUAAAGACAACUAAAUUGUUAUUCGACGUUUCGCAUUUGAAACUUCUUCUGAUGGAAAUGAGCAUUUUGAAAGUGCC